AUUGAACGCUGGCGGCAUGCCUUACACAUGCAAGUCGAACGGUAACAGGUCUUCGGAUGCUGACGAGUGGCGAACGGGUGAGUAAUACAUCGGAACGUGCCCAGUCGUGGGGGAUAACUACGCGAAAGCGUAGCUAAUACCGCAUACGAUCUAUGGAUGAAAGUGGGGGAUCGCAAGACCUCGCGCGAUUGGAGCGGCCGAUGGCAGAUUAGGUAGUUGGUGGGGUAAAGGCUCACCAAGCCGACGAUCUGUAGCUGGUCUGAGAGGACGACCAGCCACACUGGGACUGAGACACGGCCCAGACUCCUACGGGAGGCAGCAGUGGGGAAUUUUGGACAAUGGGCGCAAGCCUGAUCCAGCCAUGCCGCGUGCAGGAUGAAGGCCUUCGGGUUGUAAACUGCUUUUGUACGGAACGAAAAGUCUCUUUCUAAUAAAGAGGGAUCAUGACGGUACCGUAAGAAUAAGCACCGGCUAACUACGUGCCAGCAGCCGCGGUAAAAC
rnacentral:rRNA from 1 species